GUGGGGAUCCGUUCCUCUCAGAGGCCCUGUUCCUACAAACACGCUCUGAAGAUGUCCUGAGCACAGGUCAUCACCCUCUUUUGGAUGUCUGAGGGAACCUGGGCACUGUAAUGCACCUGAGAGGUUGAAAGCCCUGUCUUUAACAGGACGGUGAGUCAGGACACAGCAGUGUAAGCCCAUCAUUGGGGAACAUGCCAAAGACUAUCCAGAAGAGAUCCCUAAAGCAGAACAUUUCAAGAGCACAGGUCUACUGUCCAGGAUCAGCUGUACUCCAGGAAUCCAGACAACGAAAGAUACCUUCCUUUUAGAAUUACUAUACACCGCUGCUGCGCGAUUCAGGAGAUAAAAGUUUUCAAAAGCAUUGCACACCAAGGCAGGACUCAAGGAGCCUUUUAAAAGUUCCGUUUUUACUCUGGAUGCAAUCGACACUUGAACAUCACUGUAUAGUUCUCAAAAGGUUUUUUUUUUUUUGGUAAUCUAAAUGAAGGCAAAAAAAAAGGAGUCAUUAUCGCAGAGUAGGAUCAUCAUCCUCUUCAAUUCAGGAAACUAACUCACGGAGAGUCUCGGCACCACAGGGUGAUCGUUUCCAGAUCCACACAUCAGGCUCAGCACUGUCUUCCUGAAUACAGACUCCCCUAGUCAACUGACAGGGCUGCAGGGAGACUGCACUCAACAAGUGCUGGGAACUUCUGGGA
ensembl:lncRNA